rnacentral:rRNA from 1 species
CGUAGGGGAUCAGAUUCUUAAGGAAUUGACGGGGGGGCCGCACAAGCGGUGGAUGAUGUGGUUUAAUUCGAUGCAACGCGAAAAACCUUACCCACCUUUGACAUGGCAGGAAUUCCGAAGAGAUUUGGAAGUGCUCGAAAGAGAACCUGCACACAGGUGCUGCAUGGCUGUCGUCAGCUCGUGUCGUGAGAUGUUGGGUUAAGUCCCGCAACGAGCGCAACCCUUGCCAUUAGUUGCUACGAAAGGGCACUCUAAUGGGACUGCCGGUGACAAACCGGAGGAAGGUGGGGAUGACGUCAAGUCCUCAUGGCCCUUAUAGGUGGGGCUACAUACGUCAUACAAUGGCCGGUACAAAGGGUAGCCAACCCGCGAGGGGGAGCCAAUCCCGUAAAGCCGGUCGUAGUCCGGAUCGCAGUCUGCAACUCGACUGCGUGAAGUCGGAAUCGCUAGUAAUCGUGGAUCAGCAUGUCACGGUGAAUACGUUCCCGCGCCUUGUACACACCGCCCGAAUCU